CUGCUGCCUUCCGUAGGAGUCUGGUCCGUGUCUCAGUACCAGUGUGGGGGACCUUCCUCUCAGAACCCCUACGCAUCGUCGCCUCGGUGGGCCGUUACCCCGCCGACUAGCUAAUGCGACGCAUGGCCAUCCUAUGCCGGAGUCGCCUCCUUUGACCCCCAAGGAGAUGUCUCCUAAAGGUGUUAUGCGGUAUUAGACGGAAUUUCUUCCGCUUAUCCCCCUGCAUAGGGCAGGUUCCAUACGUGUUACUCACCCGUGCGCCGG
rnacentral:rRNA from 1 species